rnacentral:lncRNA from 10 species
GCCUGCGCCUCCCGCUUCCCUGGCUUGGCGGCAGCCUCAAGGGACUCCUCUCCCAAGCCAGCUACCUCAUCGGAGCGCCGCCCCGCCUCGCCCCGCGCAGUUUGGAUUCGAAGUGCGCGGGCGGGGAGGGAGUUGAGAGCACCGCGGCUACCUGGCUUCCCUGAGUCCCGGCUGCCGGGAACGGGCGCGGGGGUGAAUAGGUAAGUUAGCGCCUAGUUUCCCUCGCUCAUCCAAGAAGCGAAGCUUGGAAUCGAUCUUUGGUGGGACUCUUCCCCAGAUGUAAGAAGCCAUACACUAAAGGGGAAGGGAAGGAACAUUGAGUCCUGCUCAUGGGCCUGGAACGUUUCAACGCCAGUUAUCCCAUUUAACCUCCACAAUCGCCAUUGCAGAGGAAACGCAAAAAGAUUUGAAUGAUUUGCCUAAGUCACGUUAUCAAAUUAGAUGAGUUUCUAAAUCGUUACAUGAAAAAUUUAAAACUCAAAAUAGACAUUACUUUUGUAGCCUCCUUUCCUCGAUGAACAUGUUACAUCCCUAAAUGCUUAUAUAUCACCGUUUUUUCCCAGUGAUUCAUGGUGGCAUGGUGGCAUGAAUCCUGGUGUGUAGAUAUCUCGCCCAUUCUGCUAUUGAUAUUUAGAUGAUAAUUUAAAAGAUAAGGCUGGGCUGAAUAUCUUCAUACAUAAAUCUUUGUGUAUGUAUGUAUUUAUAAAUGCAUCCUGCAUUUUCGUACGGCUGAUUCCUAGAGGUGUAAUUACUGAAUGCUCCCUUUAUUAAUUUGCCUUCUGCACAAAGCCUCACCGGAAAAGUACCCUCCUUUUGUUACCCUCAGCAGGGCUGAAUUCUAUUGUACUUCUAAACAUCUUUGCUCAUUUUGUAGGUAAAAUAAUAAUACUGGCAUUUCCUUGUUUGGCACUUGAUUAUAAUUGAAAUUGCACAUUUUUCGUGUUUAUUGGCCAACUGUAACUUAAGUGAAUCCUCUUCAUAUGCCUUUUCCCUAAAGGUAAAGGAUGCUUGUUUGCUUCACCUUCAGAACCAUAUUUUUCUUAUUUUCAGAAAAACUUCAUUAGUGCUUUCAAUGUUCUUUUUACUUUUUUUAAUUGAGACGGAGUCUCGCUCUGUCACCCAGGCUGUAGUGCAGUGGCCCAAUCUCAGCUCACUGCAACCUCCGCUACCUGGGUUCAAGCAAUUCUUGUGCCUCAGCUUCCCGAGUAGCUGGGACUACAGGCACGCACCACCAUGCCUGGAUACUUUUUUUUUUUGUAUUUUUAAUAGAGACGGGGUUUUGCCAUGUUGGCCAGGCUGGUCUUGAACUCCUGACCUCAGGUGAUCCGCCUGCCUCGGCCUCCCAAAGUGUUGGGAUUACAGGCGUGAGCCAACGCGCCCGGCUUCCAUGUUCUUUUUAACUUGUCAGCAGCAUGCCAAACAUUCACAGCACCAACACAGUGGGCGACAGGCACCACUUUUUCAAUUUCCUUGCACUCUGUGAUUAACAUUGACACCACUAAUAGAGUAGAUGGUAGCACUACUUUUAAAAUUUACUUGCAUUCUUUGUUGAUUAAAUUAACAGGAGAGCUUUUCAGAAAGCUUCACAAAUUUGUGAUCUUCAUACUUGUUCUUAGCACCAGCAUUAUGAAGUAUCCAAAGAAAAGGCAAUUUUUUCUCUCUUGUCCUUUACACUGAGGUGCUGAGGCUAACAAAGUCAUAGAACUGAUGCAAAGAUAUCCAUUCAGAGCAUAAACGCAGCAUGUAAAACACUGUGUAAUACGCGUUUAUAAUAUAUGACCUUAGCCUGGGCACUGUGGCAAAACCCUGUCUCUAUAAAAAAUACAAAAAUUAGCCAGGUGUGGUGGUAUGAGCCUGUAGUUCCAGCUACUUGGGAGGCUGAGGUGGGAGGAUCACUUGAGCCCAGGAGGUCAAGGCUGCAGUGAGGCAUGGUCACGCCACUGCACUCCAGCCUAGACGACAAAGCAAGACCCUUUCUCAAAAAAAAAAAAAAAAAAAAAAAAAAAUCCUAUUACAGGGUCAUAUAUUUCUACUGGAUGGAAGUGCAAUGUUUUGCCACUGUUUAAUCUUUUUCUGAUGCCACCUAUUCUUUCUGUGAAUUAACAGCCCUGUUGGCAGUGUCUUUGGUCUUGCACACUAGCUUGACAUAACACUCAAAAUUCUAGCUAGAUGCUUGAGGAAUGCCUUUUCCUUGGAAUAUAUUCUUAUACAGAAUUAUCAUUAUUCUUAUUUAUUUAUUUAUUUUUUGAGACAGAGUCUUGCUCUGUUGCCCAGGCUGGAGUCCAGUGGCAUGAUCUCGGUUCACUGCAGCCUCUGCCUCCUGGGUUCAAGCGAUUCUCCCACCUCAGCCUCAUGAGUAGCUGGGACUACAGGUGCGCGCCUCCACAGCUGGCUAAUUUUUAUAUUUUAGUAGAGACAGAGUUUCACCAUGCUGGCCAAGCUGGUCUCAAACUCCUGACCUCAAGUGAUUUGCCUGCCUCGGCCUCCCAAAGUGCUAGGAUUACAGGUGUGAGCCACCGUGCGGGGCCCAGAAUGAUCAUUAUUCUAUAGGAAGAAUACUUUUGAUGAUCCAGUAACUCAGGUUUUGAUUUUCUUUCUUCCUUUUAGUAAGUGGCAGCACUGUGGAAUGGGGAACAGAUGGAAGAAUGAGCAGCUGGGAGGCACACUCUUGCAAAAACCCAGGCAAGAGACAAUAAAGACCUCUGUCGUAGGGAUGGUGAGGAGAAGAUGAACUAGAGACAUUUAGAAAUAAGAACCAAUAGCACAAGGGAACCAGCUGAAGGUGGGGCAUAGAAAGAAAAAAUCUGAGGUCAAGAAUACAAUUUUUUGCUCAUUUGAACAAAGUUUGGGAAUACAGGAAGAAGAGCAGAUUAAAGGAUUCAAGUAGGGACAGGAGCUUCCACUCAUGAGUUUAUUUUGUACAUGCUGAGUUUGAAGUGCCUGUGGAAUGACCAGGUAGGAAAUACUUGUGUGGCGCUAAGGAGUGAGAUGAAGGCUUGAGAUCUGGAAGUGGAUGACAACAAAGGACAGAGAGAGGGGAGAUGUCAGCAAAUGGGAUGAGCAGAGAGGAGUAAUCAAAGAACAACCUAAGAGACUGUGGGAGGACAAAGAAAGGGUAUUAUGGAAGCUGAAUAAGACAAUUUCAAGGAAAGCAUAGUCAUCAGUGAGAUCAAGUUGGAAGAGGCCUGAAAAGAGGCCACUAAUAUAGGUGGUUGUAAUUCCUUCUUUUUUUUUUUUUUUUUGAGACAAGGUCACAGCUUACUGCAGCCUCGACCUCCUGGGCUCAAAGGAUCCUCCCACCUCAGCCUCCCCAGUAGCUAGGAAUACAGGUGUGUGCCACCACCCUCGGCUAAUUUUUUUAUUUUUUGUAGAGACGGGGUCUUCCCAUGUUAUCCAGGCUGGUCUCAAACUCCGGGGUUCAAGCGUUCCUCUUGCCUCGGCCUCCAAAAGUGCAGUGAUUACAGGCAUGAGCCACAGCACCUGGCCUAUAUUUCAUCAUUUUUAAAAGGUAAAGAGAGAGAGAAAGGCUACUAGCAUCAGUAAUGAGGAGGGUGCUGGCACAUUUAUAGGAGCACUGUUUGCUGAUGCCUGAAAUGGCUCUAAUGGCACACAAUCUUUCAUUCUGCAAUAAGAAACAAACGCUUAAAAUUGAAGUGCCUCCUUAAAUUAAAACAACAAAGUCAUUUUCUCAAAAAUGUAAUGAAUCACAACAUUUUAGAACUGGAAACGUGCUUGCUGGUCACCUCAGCCAUCUCCCUCAUUUUAUGGUAGAGGAAACUCAGGUACAGAGUGGUAGAGUGAUUUUUACAGGGAAGAACCAGACCAGGCCUGGAGCCACUACAAAGUCCAGGCCAAGAAGCACAGGAAGCCCCUGUAGCAAGCUCCAAUGGGCUUUCACUAAUAAAGAUGGAAGUGCGUGUCCAGAACGACCAACGUAUUACAUCUGAGAGCAGAGGCUUUAUUUACAAUGACAUUCAAACAGGAUUUAGCAAAGGAUGCCUCUUCCUGCUCGCAUCUUAGCAGCAUGGGUUGUACUUCAUAAACAGAAAAGAGAAAUAUCCUGGGAGCAGGAAGUGAACUCUUUUCUCAGAUAAUGUUCUCUAAAUCCCAACACGUUCCAUGCUCCCGGCUCUUAGCAGGUAGUUGGUGGACACUUGGUUAUAGCAGCUGGGUGCCAGAUGCCUGCAUCUCACUGAGGAAUGUGUUCAGGGAAGAUGUCAACACUGGCCGGGAAAAACAUCAGGCUUUCACCUCACUCAUGGCCUCCAUAAGGCGAGCGCUGUUUGUGACUGCUGUCGUCAGGAAAAUGAACCUGUAGCCUAAGGAGUCAAAUGCAGCAGCAGAAGAGACAGCACAGAUCUUAGGCCCCAACGGCAACCCAUAGAGCCUCUCCAGUUCCACAGUCCCCACGGGAUCACAGCACCAGUUUAUAGACAGAGACGUGAGUGCCAUGCUCUUGGGCACCACUGCUUUCUAUGACUGGUAUAACUGGGCUCCCUGCUGUGGCAGCCCAGAGUUAAGGCUAUGGCAAGUUGUAUUCUGAGGCCAGGAGAAAAAUAUUCCUGUGCAGGACACUUUGCGUGUUUUUUUUUUUUCUCUUGAGAUGGAGUUUUGCUAUUGUUGCCCAGGCUGGAGUGCAAUGGUGCAAUCUCAGCUCACUGCAACCUCCACCUCCCGGGUUCAAGCAAUUCUCCUGCCUCAGCCUCCCGAGUAGUUAGCAUUACAGGCACCGGCCACCAUGCCUGGCUAAUUUUUGUAUUUUUCGUAGAGAUGGGGUUUCACCAUGUUGGUCAGGCUAGGCUCUAACUCCUGACCUCAGGUGAUCUGCCCGCCUCCGCCUCCCAAAGUGCUGAGAUUACAGGUAUGAACCACCGUGCCCAGCUGACACUUUGUUACCCAGAUACAAUGCAGGCCAAUUCUCACCUUUCUGCUCUCUCUUACCUUUCUCUCUGCCCAGGAACCGGAGGGCUGAGAUCUCAGAGAAUGUACAACCACCCAAGAACACCACCAAGAUGAGGCGCAGGGACUCACUGGAAGCCUUGUCUUCCUUAGUCAUAUCUGUGAGGAUCAGACCAGAUUCAGCCCUUCCCUGACAUGCUAGUCCUGAGUGGUGCAUCCAGCCCACCUCUCACUGCCAGCCUACCCCACUGUUAAUGCCACAUACCUGUGAAUGCAAAGUCACUGCAGUUGAGCAGCCGUACCACCUCAUCAAGGCCCUGCCAGCUUCGCCGCUCUAGCACCUGGGAAGGUGUAAGCACUGUUUUUAAGGCUACAGACAGUAUCAGGCUUAGGAAAGGAAGGGCACAGCAGCCAGACUGUCACAUUUCUUGCUCAUUACUCAAGUAGCAAAAAGUUGAGACAGGGCCAGGUGUGGUGGCUCACGCCUGUAAUUCCAACACUUUAGGAGUUUGAGGCGGGGGGAUCACCUGAGGUCAGGAGUUCGAGACCAGCCUGGUCAACAUAUAGUUGGCCCUGUCUAUAUGAAACCCCAUCUCUACUAAAAAUACAAAAAUUAGCUGGGUGCAGUGGCACAUGCCUGUAGUCCCAGCUACUUCGGAAGCUGAGGCAGGAGAAUCACUUGAAUCUGGGAGGUGGAGGUUGCAGUGAGCCAAGAUCGUGCCACCGCACUCCAGCCUGGGUGACAGAGCAAGACUCCAUCUCAAAUAAAAAAAAAAAAACAUUGAGACACGCCAGGGACCAAGAGAAAGCAGAGAGAAUGAAAUAUGAAUGGGAGCAAGAAUUACAUGCUCUCACCUGCUCAAUGAUUCGGCAGCUCAGGGGCACAUAAGCACCACCGAAGACGUAAGCCAUGUCUCGGGGCACUUUCAGAUCAUACUCGCCGUCCACACGUGGGAUCUGUAAGACAAAGGGACUUCAUUAGGCAAGUGACAGCUCAGCUCCCUAACCCUUUAAAGGGUCAGAUAAAGUGGCAUGGCCCAAGGAACAAUUCUUAUUUCAACUAAAGGGAGAACCAGCAAUAGCCCUGAAAAGAGAAUCCAUAACGGAAGAUGGCAGUUUUUGUUCAGUAACUGCCAGUUCUCUGGAAUGAGUUCCCAUGCGCCAUUAUUGAAUAAUGUAAAGGGGCUGGAGGGAUGGCUUCUCCUUUCCCUACCCUUAAGUGACACAGGAUAUGGUUGUCACUGAAGCAGCACUUAGAAUAUUCUCUGGCAUUGGCAGGUGCUUGUUACAUGUUGAUUAAAUGAAUGAAUCUACCAUGCUAUAAGACUACCAAACAAAAGAAUCUUUAUACACAUGAAAUGACAAAAAGGUUUUUGUGGAUUCAAAGUACUCCACAAUGGGCUGGGCGCAGUGGCUCAUGCCUGUAAUCCCAGCACUUUGGGAGGCCGAGGUGGGCGGAUCACCUGAGGUCAGAAGUUCAAGACCAGCCUGGCCAACAUGGGGAAACCUUGUCUCUACUAAAAAUACAAAAAUUAGCUGGGCGUGGUGGCACAUGCCUGUAAUCCCUUGGGAGGCUGAGGCAGGAGAAUCACUUGAACCUGGGAGGCAGAGGUUGCAGUGAGCUGAGAUUGUGCCACUGCACUCCAGCCUGGGCAACAGAGCAAGAUUCCAUCUCAAAAAAAAAAAAAAAAAAGAAAAGUACUCCACAAUGGAAUGAACCCACUGUCUCCCCUAACCAUCCCUGUUCCACAUACCAAAUUCAGCUUUUUGCUGAUGGCACGAAAAUUGCUCCUCUUGGCCAGAGAACUGAAGGCAUCAGUAAUCUUUCCUGGGGAAGAAAUCUGUGUCAGGUUUCACCUAAGGUCUAUGGAUUCAUGACACUGCCACAGAUAACACCAUUCAGGACACGACAGCACCAAUCACAUCCAAAAACUCUCGGAAGCUGUUCAACUAUAAUUCCCUGGAACUAAUCAAGAUAUACUCCCCACCCUUCUCCCCACCCACAGUCUUCCCCCUCCUACGGGGUACCAGCUCUCUACUAAAUGCAAUCC